rnacentral:rRNA from 1 species
CCUUUUGUAUAAUGGGUCAGCGACUUAUAUUCUGUAGCAAGGUUAACCGAAUAGGGGAGCCGAAGGGAAACCGAGUCUUAACUGGGCGUUAAGUUGCAGGGUAUAGACCCGAAACCCGGUGAUCUAGCCAUGGGCAGGUUGAAGGUUGGGUAACACUAACUGGAGGACCGAACCGACUAAUGUUGAAAAAUUAGCGGAUGACUUGUGGCUGGGGGUGAAAGGCCAAUCAAACCGGGAGAUAGCUGGUUCUCCCCGAAAGCU